CCCUUAGAUGUCCUGGGCUGCACGCGCGCUACACUGACGCAUUCAACGAGUAUUUCCUUAUUCGGCAGAAUUGGGUACUCUUCUAAACGUGUGUCGUGAUGGGGAUAGAUUAUUGCAAUUAUUAAUCUUCAACGAGGAAUUCCUAGUAAGUGCAAGUCAUCAGCUUGCGCUGAUUACGUCCCUGCCCUUUGUACACACCGCCCGUCGCUCCUACCGAUUGAAUGUUCCGGUGAAUAAUUCGGACUGUGGCAGUAGGGCUUGUGCCACUACUUCUAUGGGAAGUCUAGUGAACCUAAACAUUUAGAGGAAGGAGAAGUCGUAACA
rnacentral:rRNA from 1 species